CUCGAGGACGAACGCUGGCGGCGUGUUUAACACAUGCAAGUGGAGCGACGAACCGGGGCUUGCCCCGGGGCAGAGCCGCGAACGGGUGAGUAACACGUGGGUAACCUGCCUCAAUGAUUGGGACAACCCGGGGAAACUCGGGCUAAUACCAAAUGUGUUCACUCCUUCUAAGGGGAGUGAGGAAAGGAAGCUUCGGCCUCCGCAUUGAGAUGGGCCCGCGGCCCAUUAGCUUGUUGGUGAGGUAACGGCUCACCAAGGCUUCGAUGGGUAGCUGGUCUGAGAGGACGAUCAGCCACACUGGGACUGAGACACGGCCCAGACUCCUACGGGAGGCAGCAGUGGGGAAUCUUGCACAAUGCGCGAAAGCGUGAUGCAGCAACGCCGCGUGGGGGAAGACGGCCUCCGGGUUGUAAACCCCUUUCAGUUGGGACGAAGCUUCGUCGGUGAAUAGCCGGUUGGAGUGACGGUACCUUCAGAAGAAGCCCCGGCUAACUACGUG
rnacentral:rRNA from 1 species